GUACACUCUAGGAUUUGGAUAUGCUGUUUUCAUUUUUAGAGAGUGCAAAAGAAAAAUCCCUGCACUUUCUUUGUGGCAGCCCAGAUUGAACUGGGGAAUACAUCU
ensembl:snoRNA